rnacentral:rRNA from 1 species
CUACGGGGGGCAGCAGUGAGGAAUUUUGCGCAAUGGGGGGAACCCUGACGCAGCAACGCCGCGUGAGUGAUGAAGGCUUUCGGGUCGUAAAGCUCUGUCAAGUGGGAAGAACCUAUGCAGUGUUAAUAUCACUGUAUACUGACGGUACCACUGAAGGAAGCACCGGCUAACUCCGUGCCAGCAGCCGCGGUGAAUACGGGGGGUGCAAGCGUUAUUCGGAAUCAUUGGGCGUAAAGGGCACGUAGGCGGCUUGGUAAGUCAGAUGUGAAAGCCCGGGGCGUAACCCCGGAAGUGCAUUUGAUACUGUCAGGCUUGAGUAUGGGAGAGGGAAGUGGAAUUCCUGGUGUAGAGGUGAAAUUCGUAGAUAUCAGGAGGAACACCGGUGGCGAAGGCGACUUCCUGGACCAAUACUGACGCUGAGGUGCGAAGGCGUGGGUAGCAAACAGGAUUAGAUACCCUAGUAGUC